AUCUACAUCUAUAUCUACGUUUGUCUAUCUGUUUAUUCAUCUGUCUAUCAAUAAAUCAUCCAGUGUAUAAUUUUCAGAGUUAGUCCUUAAAUUUAAUGUGGUCCUCUACUGACCGACCUUGAAACAUCAGCUGGUGCAUCCGAGACACCCACCAGCUAAUCGUCCUGCCACUGUCUAUUAGGCUAACAAAACAUUACACAACAAUCUCCGCUUUUUCCAACACUGAUAUGAGCUUAAUACCAUGGUUCCGAUCAAGACAAGGACAAAAAUGAAGGAAAUUUUCUAUCUUUUUAGUAUACGACAGAAAAUUUACAGUUAACAUGUUUUAAUGGCUUAGUGAGGGCCCGUCUCAUGCCCGGGACUGAAAGACAAUCAUCUGCUGGAGUUUAAAUCAAUGCGGCAUGAAAUUUUGAUGUAUCCAAGUUAAAAAAUUAUAAAAUAAACAACAAAAUAAAAAAAUAAGUUACUAGAUAAUUGACUAUGUGAAUUCAAUGGAAAAUACAUAACCCCGAGCGAGAUUGUCCGGGGCUCAAGUGUUGCCGCGUCCUCGGGUCCGUAAACAAGGACGAGUGACGUCCACUUAACUUUAUUUUUUUCCGGAAUUUACGUUAUCUAGUGCGUUCUAAGUGUUCUGACGUUAAACAUUACAUUGUGGAGCGUGUACAGAGGCAGCGGCAAGAAGCAGGAAGGAAGCAGAGGGGAAAGCAGUAACGAAAUGAAGCCCCUUAGCAGUCAGGCCAGCAGGGUGCCACUUCGUCCCUCCUCCUCCUUCGGCAACCGGAAGGAAAUUAUUGCAGGACGGCGACGCCUCCGUCAGGACCCAAGGAAAGGUUGACGAGGCCAGAUAAGAGGAGGUGAGCUGCCAAGUUGAGAAUUCGAAAGUAACGCACGCAGUCAUCACCUCAUGUAACGAUUCAACCAUGACAGGCAGACUAUGACCCCGGUGGUGAAGAAUGCAAGUCUGAGGAUCUGAGGUCGCGGCACCGAGACCAACGCCGCCUUCACGAGUCACUAAGAACCCGUCGGCCCACCCUUGUGCUUGCCUGCAGGGAAACACCUGGACGCCACCUGGGGCCGAACUAGGGCGCUUCCUGUUCAAGUAAUAAAAACUA